rnacentral:ncRNA from 1 species
AAUGCUAGGGGUGCCAACUAUUUGGCUGAGAUGAACCCUUUGAACCUGAUCUAGUUAAUACUAGCGGAGGGAAGCGAG